UACGGAGGGUGCGAGCGUUAAUCGGAAUUACUGGGCGUAAAGGGUGCGUAGGUGGUCUGAUAAGUUAUCUGUGAAAGCCCUGGGCUCAACCUGGGAAGGCCAGAUAAGACUGUUGGACUCGAGUAUGGGAGAGGGUAGUGGAAUUUCCGGUGUAGCGGUGAAAUGCGUAGAGAUCGGAAGGAACACCAGUGGCGAAGGCGGCCCGCUGGGCAGUGGCUGA
rnacentral:rRNA from 1 species